GAGCUGGGUUCAGAACGUCGUGAGACAGUUCGGUCCUUAUCCACUGUGGGCGUAGGAAACUUGAGGGGUUCAUUCUUUAGUACGAGAGGACCGAGAAUGACGCACUUCUGGUGUGGCAGUUGUUCCGUCAGGGGCAGCGCUGCGUAGCCAAGUGCGGAAGAGAUAAGCGCUGAAAGCAUCUAAGUGCCAAGCUCCUCCCAAGAUAAGGUUUCCCGGACGCAAGUCCCUUAAGACCCCCGGCAGACUACCGGGUUGAUAGGUCAGGCGUGUAAGCGUGGUAACAUGUUUAGCGGACUGAUACUAAUCGGUCGUGAGGCUUGAU
rnacentral:rRNA from 1 species